AUGCUCAAAUAUACUUGUGAUACAAUUCUAAUCUUACCAGGACAGGUUGGAUAACUACUGGACUAACCUAAAGCUUUCUCCUUCUGUCUGCAGUCUUGAAGCAACCCCAUCAUCAGCAGCUGUGUCUGAUCGCCGCUUCAUGUUGAAUAUACUUGUGUACAGUAUAUAGUAAUGUUUGAAUAAAUGUUAUAAUAAA